AUGAAGAAGAACGGUGAUUCUGGCGCGACUGAGGAGCUUCGGUCAGGGAUUCCGGUCGAGUUCUGGCCAAGAGGCUCAGAUGAGAGAAAAGUUUUGAGGAGCGAAGAUGACACCGUGGCUACUCACAAGGAUUUGGAAGAUGCACUAUUGAAGAAUGUUGGAGCUUAUCAUGAAACAAAGAUUGAUUCAAGAAGCUUUUAG